rfam:Aedes albopictus isolate Foshan contig23869, whole genome shotgun sequence.
UGUGGCUUAGCUGGUUAAAGCGCCAGUCUAGAGAACACUAAGUCGUGGGUUCAAGUCCCACCA